GACGAACGCUGGCGGCGUGCUUAACACAUGCAAGUCGAACGGUAAGGCCCCUUCGGGGGUACACGAGUGGCGAACGGGUGAGUAACACGUGAGUAACCUGCCCUUGACUUUGGGAUAACACUUGGAAACAGGUGCUAAUACCGGAUAUGAACCUUUUCGGCAUCGGAUUGGUUGUAAAGCUCCGGCGGUCAGGGAUGGACUCGCGGCCUAUCAGCUUGUUGGUGAGGUAAUGGCUCACCAAGGCUUCGACGGGUAGCCGGCCUGAGAGGGCGACCGGCCACAUUGGGACUGAGAUACGGCCCAAACUCCUACGGGAGGCAG
rnacentral:rRNA from 1 species